rnacentral:rRNA from 1 species
AGUGAACGCUGGCGGUAGGCCUAACACAUGCAAGUCGAACGGCAGCACAGUAAGAGCUUGCUCUUACGGGUGGCGAGUGGCGGACGGGUGAAGAAUACAUCGGAAUCUACUUUUUCGUGGGGGAUAACGUAGGGAAACUUACGCUAAUACCGCAUACGACCUACGGGUGAAAGCAGGGGAUCUUCGGAACUUGCGCGAUUGAAUGAGCCGAUGUCGGAUUAGCUAGUUGGCGGGGUAAAGGCCCACCAAGGCGACGAUCCGUAGCUGGUCUGAGAGGAUGAUCAGCGAAACUGGAACUGAGACACGGUCCAGACUCCUACGGGAGGCAGCAGUGGGGAAUAUUGGACAAUGGGAGCAAGCCUGAUCCAGCCAUACCGCGUGGGUGAAGAAGGCCUUCGGGUUGUAAAGCCCUUUUGUUGGGAAAGAAAAGCAGCAGGUUAAUACCCCGCUGUUCUGACGGUACCCUAAGAAUAAGCACCGGCUAACUUCGUG